rnacentral:lncRNA from 1 species
UUUUUUCUUUCUUUGACAUUGCGCCGUAAUGUUCUCCUUCUGCCCUCCUCUGCUCCUAUGGCGAUGAAACAAAGGAGCUUCAACGACGCCACACCGGUAAGUUCCCUUUACUCCCUUCCUCGUUUUGUUUAUUUGUUGUUUUUUAGAAGCAAAAGAAAAGAACUAAAAUAAAUUAAAAAAAACAGUAAAGGAACAGAAAAAUAAAACCAAAUCCCACCUUCAAAAAUAUUUUUCUGUAUAUUUUCUUUUUGAUUUCGGUACAAAAAAAAUUUGCUAACCCCGUUACAAAGAUCGAUUGGCCUUUAUAUAGCCGAAUCAAAAAAAAACAAGCCCUCGAAAACUUCCCCCCAUUUACAUUUUUGUCAUAUUUUCUGCCAUUAUCGAUUGUUUGUUGCAUGUGUAUGGAAAACGUGCGUUGUGCGGGGCUACUGGACGUGCGAGCAAGAACGUGGAGCAACGGGACAGUUGCUGCGACAUGAGGACGAGUGCGGCGCUGGGAAAACUGCCUGGGGUUUCUGCUGAUCUUUGAACUUUUUGGGCCACUCUGUAAUUGGGCUAGGGUUAAUGGUUUGGUCUUUAUUGGGUUCAAUUGGUU